UACGUAGGGUGCGAGCGUUGUCCGGAAUUAUUGGGCGUAAAGGGCUCGUAGGCGGUUUGUCGCGUCGGGAGUGAAAACCUCGGGCUUAACUCGGGGCUUGCUUUCGAUACGGGCAGACUAGAGUGCGGUAGGGGUGACUGGAAUUCCUGGUGUAGCGGUGAAAUGCGCAGAUAUCAGGAGGAACACCGGUGGCGAAGGCGGAUCUCUGGGCCUUACCUGACGCUCAGGCGCGAAAGCUAGGGGAGCGAACAGG
rnacentral:rRNA from 1 species